rnacentral:rRNA from 1 species
GUCGAGCGGAGAGAGGUAGCUUGCUACUGAUCUUAGCGGCGGACGGGUGAGUAAUGCUUAGGAAUCUGCCUAUUAGUGGGGGACAACAUUUCGAAAGGAAUGCUAAUACCGCAUACGUCCUACGGGAGAAAGCAGGGGAUCUUCGGACCUUGCGCUAAUAGAUGAGCCUAAGUCGGAUUAGCUAGUUGGUGGGGUAAAGGCCUACCAAGGCGACGAUCUGUAGCGGGUCUGAGAGGAUGAUCCGCCACACUGGGACUGAGACACGGCCCAGACUCCUACGGGAGGCAGCAGUGGGGAAUAUUGGACAAUGGGCGCAAGCCUGAUCCAGCCAUGCCGCGUGUGUGAAGAAGGCCUUAUGGUUGUAAAGCACUUUAAGCGAGGAGGAGGCUACUUUAGUUAAUACCUAGAGAUAGUGGACGUUACUCGCAGAAUAAGCACCGGCUAACUCUGUGCCAGCAGCCGCGGUAAUACAGAGGGUGCAAGCGUUAAUCGGAUUUACUGGGCGUAAAGCGCGCGUAGGCGGCUAAUUAAGUCAAAUGUGAAAUCCCCGAGCUUAACUUGGGAAUUGCAUUCGAUACUGGUUAGCUAGAGUGUGGGAGAGGAUGGUAGAAUUCCAGGUGUAGCGGUGAAAUGCGUAGAGAUCUGGAGGAAUACCGAUGGCGAAGGCAGCCAUCUGGCCUAACACUGACGCUGAGGUGCGAAAGCAUGGGGAGCAAACAGGAUUAGAUACCCUGGUAGUCCAUGCCGUAAACGAUGUCUACUAGCCGUUGGGGCCUUUGAGGCUUUAGUGGCGCAGCUAACGCGAUAAGUAGACCGCCUGGGGAGUACGGUCGCAAGACUAAAACUCAAAUGAAUUGACGGGGGCCCGCACAAGCGGUGGAGCAUGUGGUUUAAUUCGAUGCAACGCGAAGAACCUUACCUGGCCUUGACAUAGUAAGAACUUUCCAGAGAUGGAUUGGUGCCUUCGGGA